AUUGAACGCUGGCGGCAGGCCUAACACAUGCAAGUCGAGCGGAUGAAGGGAGCUUGCUCCUGGAUUCAGCGGCGGACGGGUGAGUAAUGCCUAGGAAUCUGCCUGGUAGUGGGGGAUAACGUCCGGAAACGGGCGCUAAUACCGCAUACGUCCUGAGGGAGAAAGUGGGGGAUCUUCGGACCUCACGCUAUCAGAUGAGCCUAGGUCGGAUUAGCUAGUUGGUGGGGUAAAGGCCUACCAAGGCGACGAUCCAUAACUGGUCUGAGAGGAUGAUCAGUCACACUGGAACUGAGACACGGUCCAGACUCCUACGGGAGGAAGCAGUGGGGAAUAUUGGACAAUGGGGUAAAACCUGAUCCAGCCAUGCCGAGUGUGUGAAGAAGGUCUUCGGAUUGUAAAGAACUUUAAGUUGGGAGGAAGGGCAGUAAGUUAAUACCUUGCUGUUUUGACGUUACCAACAGAAUAAGCACCGGCUAACUUCGUG
rnacentral:rRNA from 1 species